rnacentral:rRNA from 1 species
GCAAGUCGAACGUGAUCACGACGAAGUUUACUUUGAUGUGUGAAAGUGGCGGACGAGCGAGUAACACGUGGGUAGUUGCCUUGUACUCGGGGAUAACUGGUCGAAAGAUCAGCUAAUACCGGAUGGUCUCGAAAGAGUAAAGAUUUAUCGGUACAGGAGACGCUUGCGGCCUAUCAGCUAGUUGGUGAGGUAAAGGCUUACCAAGGCUAUGACGGGUAUCUGGUGUGAGAGCACGACC